CAAGUUGUAUGCCUUCUUCCAAUCUUGCAUAGCUUUGUCUAAUGCAGCAAUAUGCCUGCCUGUUUUCUUUGUUCCUAGCUGUCUCCAGGCAUCCAUACUGUGCCUGUUCCGUCAGUACUCAGGGUGAAGUCAGAGAGAAACUAGGUCCUUGCACAACACAUCAAAUGGCCAGACUGUUGAAGGCAUAUUUCACUCCUCUUCCUUAUUCCUCGUCAAGAAGCCUCAGGUUCUGCACUUUCUCCCCUUUCUUGCACAGUCAUGUUGGAUGCAAUAAGCCACCCACUCCUUUCCUCUGUCCUUAGCUGUUAUUGGACAUCCAGACUAUGUCAGUUCCAUCAGCACUCCAGAUGAGGCAAGACAGAAGUCAGUCCCUCCUUUGGGCAGACCACCAACCUGGAGACAGCAGAUGCAUACCUCACUAUGUCUUUUUCCCUCAGGGAGAAGUUACAGGACAAGGUGAUUUCACUUGGAGCUGAGUUUUGCCAGACUUGGGGAAAUAUUAAUGCAGGUCUGUUGCCUGGCUGGAGUGCAGUGGAGCGAUCAUCACUCACAGCAACCUCCACCUUCUGGGUUGGAGCGAUUCUACUGCCUCAGCCUACUGAGUAGCUGGGACUACAGGCUGGAGUGCAAUGGCAUGAUCUCAGCUCAUCGCAACCUCUGCCUCCCAGGUUCAAGCAAUUCUCCUGCCUCAGCCUACCAAAUAGCUGGGAUUACAAGCCUGUGCCACCAUGCUGGCUAAUUUUGUACUUUGAGUUUCUACAUGUUGGUCAGGCUGGUCUGGAAUUUCAUUCCUCAGGUGACCUGACCACCUCAGCCUCCCAAAGUGCUGGAAUUAUAGGUGUGAGCCACCGCACCCAGCUUUAGAACAUUAUUAUAAGUGUUAUAGAUAUGGUCUGAGAAAAAGGCUAUUUCUUCAAGAAAAAAAAAUUGAAAGCACUAUUCAGCAUUAAAAAAGGAAUAAACUAUUGUUUCAUACUACAAUUGUGAUAAAUCUCAAAAUCAUUAUACUAGAUGAAAGAAACCAGGCAACAAAAGUACAUACUGCACCAAAUAAUUUAUAUAGAACUCUAGAAAAUGCAAUGUAAUCUAUGUAAUGAAUGAAAACACACCAGUGGUUACAUGGGAAGGAGAUUUUUGGGAGGGAGAGAGGAAUUUAAAAAGGUCUUGUUGGAGAACUAGAUAUGUUCACUAUUUUAAUUCUGCUGAUAGAAUCAUGAGUAUAUCCACAUGUCAAAGCAUAUCAAAUUGUACCCUUGAAAUACGUACAGAUUUAUUAUAUUGACAGGGGAGACCCCCUCCCCAUCUCCCUCCUCACCUCCGAAUGAGAAGGAGGGUAAAGAGAAAUAAAAUGCCGAAGAGCUUAAAUACCUGGUCAGGCAACUUGUUGGCACCACUGACCAGACUGUAAAGAGGCCCAAGGACUGGGAAAAUAACUCCCUUUUCUGUUCCCAGAGCCUCUGCUAUCUGUAAGCCUUGAAAUACUACCA